ACGGAAGAUGCGAGCGUUAUCCGGAUUUAUUGGGUUUAAAGGGAGCGUAGGCGGGCUGUCAAGUCAGCGGUCAAAUGGCGCGGCUCAACCGCGUUCCGCCGUUGAAACUGGCAGCCUUGAGUAUGCACAGGGUACAUGGAAUUCGUGGUGUAGCGGUGAAAUGCUUAGAUAUCACGAGGAACUCCGAUCGCGCAGGCAUUGUACCGGGGCAUUACUGACGCUGAGGCUCGAAGGUGCGGGUAUCAAACAG
rnacentral:rRNA from 1 species